CCCCCUCUCAACUGACUUCACAGCCAUUUUAGAGAAGCUAGGACACGACCAGAUCAUCUUCAAAACACCAGUAAGGCUGAUCAACACUUCACACACGGCUUGCCCUCUUCAUCGAACUGGUUUGGGUCUCCCCUUCUCAACAGACUUCUCAGCCACCUUAGAGAAGCUAGGAAACUGACCAGGAACAUCUUUAGUGAGGCUCAAGCAAUGGUACCUGAUACAUUAUCCCAAAGGUGCAUUAGUACCUAUCAAAACCAAGAAAAUGAAUAUCCUGCAUCACACUUGAUGCACACAAUCUCACAAUUCAAUCAUAAUCAUCUUAAGUAUCUUUUCAAGUACAAGCAAUGAAUAAGAUGAAUGAAAAGGAUUGAAAAGAGUUUUAAAAGUCUAAGGGAACUUCCCUUGUGUUUUUGUGAGUUUCCUAACUCUCUCAAUGCACCAUCUUCAUGUCAUCAUCAACUUCUUGGAAAGGCAGAAUGGAUUGAUCAGCUUCUCGUCAAUCACCUCUCAUUGAAGCCGCAUUGAUGGAGAGCCUUCUUCCUCACUUGCCAAGGCUGCUCUGAACAGCCUCUUGCCUAGACACGCCACUGACUUGGCCCGGUUGAUGAUCCUUGUAGAAGCUUUUGCAACAAAAGACUUGUUACUGACCAUGGAUCAUAUGCAUUAAGACUCCCCCUCAAGCUUGGAACCGAGACUAGAAGGAGCUAAGCUUGUGAUGAUUCUAUGCAUCUCCAUGGUCUAAUAACUAUCAUUUUUCAUGAUAGCUUUCUUCUUGUGAGUUUUCUCUCUUCCUUAACCAGGAAUUAGGGUGUUUGAAUCACCAUAGAGAGUCCUCACAAGGCAAGUUCUCACUGUAUAAUAACUCAUGCUACACUUCAUGUAGACUAUGGACUGAACAUGUCCUAUGAUAUUAUACAAUGGCAUUCUCUCAUUGCAUAAUCAAUCACACUACACUUCCUGUAGAUUAUGGAUUAACACAUCCAGUGAUGAUUUGCAAUGGAACUAGACCUUUUGUCUUCACACUUUGGUUUGGCUUGUCACUGUAUCACUUCUUUGUGUACCUAACAUCACCACAACUCAAUGCAAGAUCAGAUCAUCCCAUUGGGAUCAAACUAAGAUCAUCCAUCCUGUUUGAUCACCAAUGCCACAACAAUAUAUAAACCUUGAAACAAGCCAAUCAAUCAAGGCAAGAACAAGCAGUUUUAAAUCUCUAAAAAUGACAAUGCAAGCUUUAAACAAUACAUUGAAAAUUUAGGCUCAUUUUUAAAUGCAUCAAUACAUGAAUGCACAAUCUUAAAGCAUUAGCUAUAUGAAUGCAACAGGUUCAAUCCGAGAGCAAUAUUAAAGCUAUGCACAACAGUUCCAAUCAAUACCAAUGAUGCAAGCAACUUAGACAGUUUCUAAUUGAUGCAAGACAAUCAAUGAUGGAUUAAACAUAGGCAAUAGCAUCAGACAACAAUAGGAUUGAACUUAGACAGUAUGAGACAUGCUUAUGUAUGCAAAACAGCUUAUCAAUCAUGAUGCAAGCAGCAGAGACAUUCUACUCAAGUCUACAACACAUUCAUGAUAAUUUCAAGCUAUGGCAAUACACAAGACAAUGCAAUGAACAGAACAUGAGAUUUUGGGACUCUAGACAUUACCUAAUAUCAAUAAGACAAUGCAGCAGCAAAAUAUUUCCAGUGCAAUUAGCCUAGACAUUCUACUAGAAGCUAUAAACUCUUAAUGUAAAUUAGGGAAAGCACAGAGUAUAAUCAAGAGAUAGACCUAUCAAGACAUAUUAAGAUAGAUGAGACUAGGUUUACUUCCUUGUUUAAGAUGGUGAGGAGUGGUCUCUUCAUUUCGCCACUUGAGUCCUCACUUGCUAAGCUUAACAGCUUCUCCUUUCAUCACACAAGCUCACUAACUUGAAGGUGAGCGCUUACUAAGCUUCAUGAACAACCUUGUGGGAACACCUCCAUCUUCUUCAGACUUGAUGCUUACUUCCCCACUUAACCACCAUUGCACUGAGGAGAUACCUCAGCUUACUCUCCAAGUACUUCUUAUUAGAAGCUCAUUGAGUCGCUUUCUUCUUCCCUCUACUUCGGCUGCAUCUACACAUGAUCAGCUUGCAAUGGCCUUGAGGAACCAGGUCAUUGAGCUUAGAGGAUCUUCUGGUAGCUCACUUGAAUCCACACCUCAAGCUUGACUUAGUAUAGGUGCAAGCUUGAAGUGAGCCUCAAUGAGACUUCAAACCGGGAGCGCAUCACUACCUACAGCUGCGCUUAACCCAACCGAUCUGCCAUUGCCUUCAGCUCCAAUGCCUUCAGGUCAUCAGUCUCCCCAAGACUUAGGUGGUGACCUUUACUUGUGUGUCUCCAUGAACCAGGAGCACAUCACUAUCACUAGCUGCGCUAUCUCAACCGGCCAUACACACAAGUCUUUCUCCAUUGCUUUAACAAUGGCAAAGUCUUCCUCUUCUACUUGGAUGGAUGGUGAGCAAAGAACACUUCUUGUGAACCUGAAACACCACUCAAACUCCAGCAAAGAUAAGACACAAUUGCAUUGGGAUCAAUCCUUGACUUCAUCAAGUUUGAUCACCAAUGUCUCAAGCUUUAUAGCAUUAGAUAGAAUCAAGACAAUGUCAAGUUCUUAUCUAUGCAAGCAACCAUUCUCUAAAUACAAAGCAAGACCUUAUCAGAUUCAAGUCAACGUAUUUAGGCAAUUUUAAUUACUUCUUAAUCUGCAACUUAGACUUUGAUUUCUAACUCAUGACAGCAAGCAUGAUAAUAUAAUCUAUCAUAUUAACAAGACAAUUUAAUUUAGAACUGGACAUUAAGCAUUUAACCAUUUUCAAUCUUAUUGAUGUCAAAUCUUGAUUAAUAACUUAUCAAGUUUGAUUCCCACUAUCACAAGCAAUGCAACAGAUAGACACAAGGCAUUAUCAGGUUCUAUUCUUUGCAAGCUAACUCUCUAAGUACAAGCAAGAUCCUAACAGAUUCAAGACAAGUUUCUUAGGCACUCUUAAGAGCUUCUUUACUCAGCACUUAGACAUGAAUCUAAUGCUUCAAUGUAAGACAGCCACAAGAUGAUAAAAUGCUUUAAUCUUUAUCAGUCUCUAACACAUGAAUGCACCCAGUUUUAACAGUAGCAUUUAGCACAUUAAUACACAUUCAUUUAGAGCUGGGAUUAAGAAAUAACAUUAUCAACCAACAUCAGACACAAUGCAUAACCUUUGGUGAUUUCAUUUCAUGAAUGCAAUCAGGUUUAGACAAAUUCUAACUCCCUAACAAGCAUCACUAGAAUCAAGGCAUUUUUAAACAUUUCAGACACCAAACAAGACUUUUUAAAUAUCCUCGGACAGAUUCUAAACUCAUUUUCAUUUAGCAAUCUUAAACAUAUCCUCAGGUUUUCAAUCACAACAUCACAACCAUAUCAUAAAGACACAAGCUUUAAACAAGGGAAAAAGGUUUAGCUUACAACCAAGGAACCAGUGCUUGUUCCUUGAGCCUCCAAGGCAAUCUGCAUCAUAAAUGGACAAACCAACAUCUCCUUCUUUACGUGGCCUUUCUCCUUGAACCCACCAUGCCAAAGACACCUCCUUUCUUCAUGUUUGAGUUGCCACACAAGUACCAAUGCUGAAAGCUUCCUCCUUGGAAGGUUUCUUCUUGGACAGUGAAUGGGAAAGGCUUGGACAUGCUUCCAAUUGCCUUCUUUCUUCAGGGCGGACAUGAGAGAGUAUGAUGGACUUAGGACAGCUUCUAUACAUGCCAUGGAUGAGCAAAACUUCAUCUUGAAGAGAUUACACAGCCGGCUGGAAAGAACUUCUUCAACAGCUUCAAUAGCUUGAAAAUGGCAUGGGAGUGAGCUUGUGCUUGAGCUGAAGCUGGAACCAAGUUCUGAUGAACCUGGCUCUGAUACCAUAUAAGAUUUAACAGAGUUCAGGUUGUGUGUGUGAUGAACACGCCCUUAAGGGCAAGAGAUCUUGUCUUGUGACAAUAAUGGAAGAGAAUAAAAGAGAGACUGAUGGAAGAAUAAGGAUGGUGUGAGAUUAAGAGACUUUGAGUGAGAGAUUAAGAGAUUAGAGAGACUGAGAGAUUAAGUAACCAGAGAAUAGAGAUUGAGAGAUUCAAAGUAACCAAAAACUAUGAAGGAGAAGGGAAAAUCCCCCUUACUCACUUAAGAGUUACAAAACAUCACUUAUGAGCUUAUAUAUGCUCUUUACAACUUGCAAUCAUAAACCUAAAUCUAAGGGCUGUUAUAACUUGAAUUUAAAUGGAUGGAUGAGAUGGAAAGAUGGUCUUGGUCGUGGCUGGCUCUUCCUGAUGGAUAAUUGGUCCAUUUGAAUCUGGUCAAGGGAAGGCUGGCUCCUUAUUGGCUAGCUAAAGGCUCCCAUGAAUCUGCCCACUUCUUUUGCUAGAUACAUGGUCUCCUUUUGCUUUUACUUUACAGCAAGGGACUCUCCUUUCCAGCCUGUCACUCGCCAGCCUCUCCUUUGUCUUCUUCUCUUAAGAGUUUUGUGUUCUCUUACUGUGGUAACUCUCCAAAGUUACUGUAGUAACUUUGGAGUUACUGUCUCAACCAAAUAUUCUCCAAAUGGUGUUUAAGUCCCUCCUGGACUUAAACCCAAUCUUGCACAGCCAUAAGAUCACUUCUUGACUUCUUAAGACCCUCCUGAAGCUUGACAGACAAUCUCUGUAAGACUUGCCCUCUCUUUGCACUAGAACCAAACUACUCCAUACUUUUCCUUUCACUCCAUUUCUAUUCUUCAAGUUAACAUUCUAGAGCUUGCCCUAUCAUUGUACAAGCUACAUCUUCUCUUCAGUUCAACAGCCAACACCUAUGAGAUUGAUUCAUCUUCCUGGUGAUUCUCCACAACUUUAUGUAUCCAAAUCAAGCUUUUCACAAAGUGAUUCAUCCUGGUUUGAUUGGAACGACGAAGAAGCUGUCCUAUUCCCAAACUGGUAAACUGGAAUCACCUGAUUUGAAAGUGGGAUAUCUUCUUCAUGCCAACUCCUAUAAGAUUUGGCCUAGGGAUUGGCCAGUGAGCUCUUGUGCCUUAGAACCAGUGUGGUUGGACACAAGAAGCUCUGGAUCACGGCCUAAUAGGUGCAGCAACUCAAAACAGCUUUGCGCACACUUCACACUUCAGCUUCACCUCUUCAUGGAACCGGUUUGAAGUCUCCCCCUCUCAACUGACUUCACAGCCAUUUUAGAGAAGCUAGGACACGACCAGAUCAUCUUCAAAACACCAGUAAGGCUGAUCAACACUUCACACACGGCUUGCCCUCUUCAUCGAACUGGUUUGGGUCUCCCCUUCUCAACAGACUUCUCAGCCACCUUAGAGAAGCUAGGAAACUGACCAGGAACAUCUUUAGUGAGGCUCAAGCAAUGGUACCUGAUACAUUAUCCCAAAGGUGCAUCAGUACCUAUCAAAACCAAGAAAAUGAAUAUCCUGCAUCACACUUGAUGCACACAAUCUCAUAAUUCAAUCAUAAUCAUCUCAAGUAUCUUUCCAAGCACAAGCAAUGAAUAAGAUGAAUGAAAAAAAGCAAUUCAAUCAUAAUCAUCUUAAGUAUCUUUUCAAGUACAAGCAAUGAAUAAGAUGAAUGAAAAGGAUUGAAAAGAGUUUUAAAAGUCUAAGGGAACUUCCCUUGUGUUUUUGUGAGUUUCCUAACUCUCUCAAUGCACCAUCUUCAUGUCAUCAUCAACUUCUUGGAAAGGCAGAAUGGAUUGAUCAGCUUCUCGUCAAUCACCUCUCAUUGAAGCCGCAUUGAU
rnacentral:lncRNA from 1 species